UUGUUAUUUUAACAAAUGACAAAAUUUUCCCAAAUUCAAAUAUAUUUAUGUAGCAAUUUAAAAUUUGAAAAUGCCACCUUCCAGUCCCAAGUUUUUGCCACAAGGAUCUUUCUGUUACCUCCAUAUCCCUCUAGUAGGGCAGUUUUCUUGAGAAAACUACCCUGGAUAACUGCAGUGUCAGUACCUCCUCUUUGUUCCCUUCACAUGUAUAUUCUAUCCCUUCAUAACUUCUACACUUUAUUAUUAAAGUGCUUCUUUGAUUAUGUUUUCUCUUUGGAUAUAAACUCAGUAGAAACAAGGCCCAAGUUGGUAUUCAUUGUAGUGUAGUUUUAGCACCUGGCUUAUAAAAAACAUAGUAGGAGGAUGUUCUUACUACUUACUACACUACUGUAUCCUCCGAAUAUGGAAUGCCCAGGAGGUAACCAAUAUGUCUUCACUUUACUUAGGCAUACAUAUAACAGACCACAUUGAGGCUGUGUCACUAAUCUUUGAAAGAAUGAUAGGGUUGGAGUUGUGGCUCAGUGGUGCAGCAUGUGCCUGGCAUGUAUGAGGCCCUGGGUUUGAUACUCAGCACCAUGUAUAAAUAAAUAAAAUUUUAAAGAGAUCCAUUUACAGCUGGAAAAAAAAAAUUACAAAAAACAAAAACAAAAAACCCCCCCAAUGAUAGUAGUCUAACUUCCUCACCCCAAUCUAGCCUAUAUAUAGUUUCUAUUUGCAGACUACCUCAAGUACUCAAAUGGGGAACAUCUAAAAUGCCAAAAUUACUUACUUUGACAUGGGCUUAUUGCCACUGUCCUCCUUUGCCUUCCUUCCUUCUUCUACAGGCUUCAGGUUCAACAGUGGAGUCACUUCAGCAUUGCCAUAACCAGCAAAGGUAAUUGCAGCGGUGCCAUUUUCUUCAUCUAUCUCCUCAAUUUCCGCUUCGUAACACCUGUAAAGAUAUCAUGGCUGUAAGCAGUCCCUGAAGAUAGGACAUGACUGUAUUCUAAAUUUUUUUGGUGGCACUGGAGAUCAAACUGAGGUCUUGUGCAUGCUAGGUUUCUCAAUGUUUCCCAGAAUUCCCUAAAACUACUGGGUUCAAGUGAUUUUCCUGCUUCAGCUUUCUGAGAGAUCAAACUACAGGCCUGCAGCACCACCAUGUCAGCGUAGAAAGGAGGAUAUUUUAUAGAUAAAACAACUAAGUCAUUAACUCAACCCUACAUGAGUCUUUCAGGUACUCACUACAAUGUCUACUACAGUGGUUUUUCCCUACAGUAUUUACUGCUCUAGAUUGUGUUAUAUUAAGACAGUUGCACCCAGAGUCUAAAGACUUUUCCAGAAAUAUUAAAAAGACCUGAUAAUAAUGCUGUUUUAAAUUCCACUCCCAAUUCCCUCUCCACCAUUUCCACAUCUUCCCUCCCAUUGCCCAGGAAGCAAGAUACAAUAUACAACAUUGCACAAAAUGUUUUAUUUUCUUCAAAGAAAAAAGAACUGCUUAUAAGUUGGUAGAGGUAGACUGAACAUCUCUUUGAGGCAAGAAAAAAACAGAUACAUUAAGUAGACAAGAGGUUAGUUUACCUUUGUCAUAUCUGCAAUGUAUACUCACAGAACAUGUGAGCAAUUCACUGAAUGGACAGGAGCAAACCACCAGAUUAUUUUUACAUAAGGGUCUCGAAGUAGGAGAAAUUUUCAAAAAAAAAUUUUUUUUUAUUGACUGGAAUCCUGAAAUCCCCAGGUCUGGCUUCUAUGUAUUGAAAGGAUUCUGUUUGAAUUGAAAUUAUCCCAGAUAUUUUCUGUGUUUUUAAAAACAACAUACAACUUCAAGUUUGUCCUAAAUCUAGUAUCUGAAUUUGAAAAUAUUUACUCAUUUUAAUUAUGCCUGGAUAAGUUCUUUCAGAAUCCCAAAUCUAGAUUCUAAUUCAGAAAAGUUUCACUUGUUUUCACUUUUAAUAUCCCCAAAAUUUAAGUUUUAAAGGGUAACAGGAUGGUAAAGGGACAGAUUAAUUAAAUAGGAUGUGGAACCAGUAGAAAGAUCACCUAAUCAAAACACCCUGAAAACUUAAAAAAAAUCAGGUCCAGAAUUUUAAGGAAGUUCUAAAAAUGAAAAGUUACAUACACAGUAUUUACAAAUUACAUAUGGUACUUUUCUUAACCUGUUGUCCUGAGAAACAACAGUUAUUACUAUCAUGGCUUUAUGUUUGUCUUGAAACUCAGUGCAGGUUUAAAAAAUUUUAUACUUACUGAACUCUCCCACAAUAAAUUAAGAUCUCCUUUUACCACAUCAACUAAACUUGACAAAGGUCAAAACUACACUGUAAAACCCAGUCUUUAGUUCAAACACCUAACUAACAUUAAUACCAAAACCAUGUAUCUCUUUGGAUAUCUUUAUGAUGUGUUUUUAUAAGGUGUAACCCACUAGCUACAAAAGAAAAUGUUAUUAAAUGUUUCACUCUCAAUAUUAUGUAAUAAAAAGAAUUUUAAUCUGA